rnacentral:lncRNA from 1 species
UUUCUCCAUUAGGAGAAGAACGAACUUGAAUAAGAUUUAGUUUGUUGGAUGUUAUCAAUUACCCACAUAUAGGAUAUAUACUUCUAAGACAAUAUGAUUGUCAAUUAUAAGAUCUUCCAAAAUUUUCAUGACUCCAUAGGAUGUAGUUGGAAAGAAAGAUAAAUCUUAAUCAUGUUAAGAUUUGGGGUUGUGUGCUAAUAAGCAAUAUUUGUUUAAAGAAUUAUCUUGUGGGUAUCCUUAAAUUAACAUUUGGAUAUCACUUCUAUAAACCAACUAACAAAUGUUGCUUGUUGGGUAGUUCAUUGUAAUCCUACACUAGGAUUUGCCUAAAAUAGAGCAAAUGAACGAGGGAUAGAACUCAAAGAAUGGGUUCUUUGAGAGACAAGAUAGUGAUCAACAAAUAUAACAACCCAAUUCCUAUACCACAAGCUCCAAGGUAGUCGAGAAUGAUUUAUAAACUGUCUCGGUUGAAUGGUUUGAACUUUAUGAUUAUGUCAUAGAGUCUUAAUUCAAAAGAAAUAAGAAUGAAAAUCCUUAUGACUACAUUGAGUGUAUAUACGACAUAUACUCAAGGAAAUGGUAAAGUACCAUUUGACCCUAAAUAAUGAAACCUUUAUAGCUAAUUGGUAGCUUAAGGUGACUACAAUCAAAGAGAUUAGUUGACUUUGAAGAAACCAUCUUUGACGUAGUCUUGGUUUCAAUUAAUUCGAAGAUUGCUAGCUACAACUAAAUGGUGAUUCAAUGUUUGGACAUAAUAUGGGUUUCCGAAACCAUUAUUAAGAUAGUCUUGAUAAUAUAUGUCUAAAACUAUGAAUCACAAGACAUGUAAGUUGUAGAGAUCCAUCCAUCAUGAAUCUUAGCAAGCUAGUGGGAGCUAUAAGCGUCUUACGAGAGAAAGAUCAAAUCGUUUGAUUUCUCAUAAAGAUGUAAAUAAAUCUUUUGUUUACUAGGUUUACAAAAGAUUAGUGGGAGUUAAUCAUGUUCCUAAAUUUGAAUAUAUAUAUAUAUAUAUAUAUAUAUACACACACACAUAUAUGAUAUAUUAAUUUUGGAAAUGAAAAGAAUACUUCUUCGUUAAACUUAUGACUUUAAAUAUUCUAUAACGAUAGAAUGUAUAUGGGAGACAUAGUCUAUAAACAUGGGAUGGAAAUCUAUAAUGAUAGAUUUCAGGAUAUAAUUGGAUUAUAUCAAGCCCUAAUGAUAGACAAAAGAUGCUAGGAAGUUUUUCAUAUGAUGAUAAACUUCAAUCAGAAGAACAACUCUAAUAAGACUAGGAGGUAGCUCUUCUCAAAGGGAACGUACCCUUUGACUCCCAAAGAAAUAAUGCGCAAAUAGAAUCCUUUAUGUAUACGCAAAAAGGUGAUUUAUGUAUUUCAUAUUGUAUGAAAAACGUUGAUAUGAGUUGUACCAAGAUCGGUACAAGACGAUAUCAAUGCAAGUCCAGGAUCAGAACCAUGGCAACUAUAAAGUGAAUUCUUAAGUAUUUGAGAAAUAAUAAAGGAUGGAUUCCUCAAGAAUG